rnacentral:rRNA from 1 species
CGUGGGUGAUCUGCCCUCAACUUUGGGAUAAGCCUGGGAAACUGGGUCUAAUACCGGAUAGGAACAWUCUUUAGUGUGGWWGKUGGAAAGCUUUUGCGGUURGGGAUGAGCUCGCGGCCUAUCAGCUUGUUGGUGGGGUAAUGGCCUACCAAGGCGUCGACGGGUAGCCGGCCUGAGAGGGUGUACGGCCACAUUGGGACUGAGAUACGGCCCAGACUCCUACGGGAGGCAGCAGUGGGGAAUAUUGCACAAUGGGCGGAAGCCUGAUGCAGCGACGCCGCGUGGGGGAUGAAGGCCUUCGGGUUGUAAACUCCUUUCGACAGGGACGAAGCUUUUGUGACGGUACCUGUAUAAGAAGCACCGGCUAACUACGUGCCAGCAGCCGCGGUAAUACGUAGGGUGCGAGCGUUGUCCGGAAUUACUGGGCGUAAAGAGCUCGUAGGUGGUUUGUCGCGUCGUCUGUGAAAUUCCGGGGCUUAACU